UGGGGAAUAUUGCACAAUGGGGGAAACCCUGAUGCAGCAACGCUGCGUGAGUGAUGACGGUCUUCGGAUUGUAAAGCUCUGUCUUCAGGGACGAUAAUGACGGUACCUGAGGAGGAAGCCACGGCUAACUACGUGCCAGCAGCCGCGGUAAUACGUAGGUGGCAAGCGUUGUCCGGAUUUACUGGGCGUAAAGGGAGCGUAGGUGGAUAUUUAAGUGGGAUGUGAAAUACUCGGGCUUAACCUGGGUGCUGCAUUCCAAACUGGAUAUCUAGAGUGCAGGAGAGGAAAGUAGAAUUCCUAGUGUAGCGGUGAAAUGCGUAGAGAUUAGGAAGAAUACCAGUGGCGAAGGCGACUUUCUGGACUGUAACUGACACUGAGGCUCGAAAGCGUGGGGAGCAAACA
rnacentral:rRNA from 1 species